CGUUAUCAAAAAAUAUUUUGAGUAAGAUAAGCCCAGGUAAGAUAAGCCCGGAAUAAUUCCCGGAAUAAUUGAUGUACUGAAAUUUGUACAUUACUGAAAAGCCAUGCACAACCGGUUGAUACCAUACUCUAUUGAGUUUCGGUCGUUUGACUGACCAGUAAGAAGCUCCGGUGUGUUCCUCCGGUGUGCGUAGUUUACAGUCAUUUUCAUUAAAGCAUGUUUGAGCUUCUUCUGUUGUCACCAUACAAGAUCUACAAAUCCUGUAAGCAAAUGACAUGCUACCCGAAACGAGUGCAUCGUAAUAUUUAGUUUUAGGUCUUCGAUAAAAUUAAUGGUCUAAGAAAAUAUUUGGCAAUAUCCUGAUAUUUCCAAACACCCACAAGAAAUAUUGCUUUGCUUUUAGUGAAGAGCGGUACUUGGGCCGUAUGUAAGCAACCCAACUUAUGCUUUCGUGCAUACGAUCCUAUUGGAUUACAUACCUAUUGGAUUACAUACUUCUUUUGCAAUCUCUGCUUCAGCUAGGUGGUACUCUUUUGUCUGAAGUAGUGAUGUUUACGUUUACGUACUAGUUUUUCUGCUUUUUUGACAAUUUGUGGAUCCUCAUCUUCCUCGAAAAGAGUGAAGAGAAGAGAAGUGUUAUCAGUCUUCAACAGUCUUCACUAGCCACCAUCAUCUCCAGCUCAUGGCAUUCAUUCUCAAGGAAAAUGCCGAGGGAAAUAUGAAGGCCAGCUGCGUUCAAAGUCCUAACACUCUGGGGUGGGUCUCAGAGCUGAUCAGAAGUAACCAGGCACCAAAUGCAGCAGUACUUUCCUGUUUUCAGAAGUUUUAGACUCCAGGUCUUCAAUCUGGGCAAUUCUGAGGUUGACGGGGUUGUCAGACGCUUCAAACAUGCAGAACACCACGUUGACGAUCUGGAAGGACAUCUUGAAGCUUCCUCCUUCCCCAAACUUGACCCACAAUUCAUCACUAGGGAUACGACCUUCAUGCCAGAUCCUUGACGUACGCCAUAGGAACAUUCGUAAUCUCAAUGGUAUUGUGACCAUCAUGGACGUUAACUCGGUACUAACUCCCCUACGUACUGCUCCGAUUCUGCCCGCAUCUUCUUUUCUGAGGCUAUCUCGACUCCCCACUGCUUCAACCACCUGAUUCCAAUAAGGUGAAUAUGAAGGUACUUGUAGUUUAAACUUGCCUCCUCGUCUUGUUCUCUGCCAGGUGCAGGUCCACCUUCAUUGCCCUGGCAGGAAUCGAUAUCUUGAUACUCCCUUUCUCUCGGAGCUUAGCAGUCACCUCAUUUGCCAGCUGAGUACACUCAUCCCCAUCUGAUGUCUUUUCCUCUGAUGUCUAAGUUCAGAGGAACGACGCCGCACAGUCCGAGAACUUGCCUGCCCAGAAGUGUUUGAGAUUGUUCAGGAUCGCAUGACAGACUCCGUGUUACAAGAUCACAUGUUGUGGUCAGACUUCGAAUGAAGGCCAGGGGAGGUUGCCUGACAGUGCAAAAAUCAGCCACAUGAUCAGGGACACACAUGAUCAGGGACAACAAAGGGAUUCGGCUUUUAGUAAGCUCUGGCAGCCAGCAGCAUUCAGCACGAGGAGCACAAGUCACAUUUUAAUUCAUUCAGGUCCAUGUGUUUAAUAAUAGCCUGUGGAGAGAUGUUGGGUGGUCUGCCUGCUUUUGAAAUAGCCGUGCAACCCACUGAUCAACCCACUGGGUUUGUAGUCUGUUUUGUUUGCUUUUGCACGCUUGGUGAAAUACGUUAUAUUUCUACAGGGAUGACAAUAGCAUUGAGGAUGGAUGGAGGGAUUAUCAGAAGACCAAAUGUGUCCGAUAGUUCGCUGGCAUUUUCUGAACACUGAUAUUUGGUAGUCCUUUUCCCUUUAGCUUUAGAGGCUUUUCCCACAUUGUCCCACACACUCUACACAGUCUCUCUAAGGCUGCUUUGUGCGCUUCUAUCAUUCCUGUGAAUUGUAAUGUCAUUGUACAUUUUAAUCAAUAUUUGAUGUUGCAUA